AUGAUGAACCCGGUUGGUUCUUUCUGGUGGUGGGAUGUCAUGCAACUCAGCGACGUAUUCCGUGGGAUCACCAGGGUCAUAGUAGGGAAUGGUUCAUCUUCCCUGUUUUGGGAAGACGCCUGGUUUAGUGAUGAUCGAGACGCCCCGCUGAUGGAGAUCUUCUCCAGAGCCUUCUCCUUCUGCACUAAUGAGGACGUGUCUGUGGGUGGUGCGCUCGAGGCCACAAAUCAACGUCCCGCUGAUGGCGAGCAGCAAUGUUCUGAGGGAGGCCAAGCCACUGGAUGUUGUUGCGAUCCUGUGGUACAGAUGGGUGCCUGUGCUGCAGGCUGGAGUGUCGUGCUGCAAGUCUGGCGCGAUGCCCUCCACGCAUUGCUGCAUGCCAGCAGCCGAGAUACUCCACAGAGGCGCUUGUGCUGUAAGAGGUGA
rnacentral:rRNA from 1 species